rnacentral:rRNA from 1 species
CCUACGGGAGGCAGCAGUGAGGAAUAUUGGUCAAUGGACGAGAGCCUGAACCAGCCAAGUAGCGUGAAGGAUGACUGUCCUAUGGGUUGUAAACUUCUUUUAUAUGGGAAUAAAACGUUCCACGUGUGGGAUUUUGUAUGUACCAUAUGAAUACGGAUCGGCUAACUCCGUGCCAGCAGCCGCGGUAAUACGGAGGAUCCGAGCGUUAUCCGGCUUUAUUGGGUUUAAAGGGAGCGUAGGUGGAUUGUUAAAUAAGUUGUGAAAGUUUGCGGCUCAACCGUAAAAUUGCAGUUGAAACUGGCAGUCUUGAGUACAGUAGAGGUGGGCGGAAUUCGUGGUGUAGCGGUGAAAUGCUUAGAUAUCACGAAGAACUCCGAUGGCGAAGGCAGUUCACUGGACUGCAACUGACACUGAGGCUCGAAAGUGUGGGUAUCAAACAGGAUUAGAUACCCCAGUAGUC